UUGCUGUCACUUAUAGAUGGAUCCGCGCUGCAUUAGCUAGUUGGUAAGGUAACGGCUUACCAAGGCAACGAUGCAUAGCCGACCUGAGAGGGUGAUCGGCCACACUGGAACUGAGACACGGUCCAGACUCCUACGGGAGGCAGCAGUAGGGAAUCUUCCGCAAUGGGCGAAAGCCUGACGGAGCAACGCCGCGUGAGUGAUGAAGGUCUUCGGAUCGUAAAACUCUGUUAUUAGGGAAGAACAUAUGUGUAAGUAACUGUGCACAUCUUGACGGUACCUAAUCAGAAAGCCACGGCUAACUACGUGCCAGCAGCCGCGGUAAUACGUAGGUGGCAAGCGUUAUCCGGAAUUAUUGGGCGUAAAGCGCGCGUAGGCGGUUUUUUAAGUCUGAUGUGAAAGCCCACGGCUCAACCGUGGAGGGUCAUUGGAAACUGGAAAACUUGAGUGCAGAAGAGGAAAGUGGAAUUCCAUGUGUAGCGGUGAAAUGCGCAGAGAUAUGGAGGAACACCAGUGGCGAAGGCGACUUUCUGGUCUGUAACUGACGCUGAUGUGCGAAAGCGUGGGGAUCAAACAGGAUUAGAUACCCUGGUAGUCCACGCCGUAAACGAUGAGUGCUAAGUGUUAGGGGGUUUCCGCCCCUUAGUGCUGCAGCUAACGCAUUAAGCACUCCGCCUGGGGAGUACGACCGCAAGGUUGAAACUCAAAGGAAUUGACGGGGACCCGCACAAGCGGUGGAGCAUGUGGUUUAAUUCGAAGCAACGCGAAGAACCUUACCAAAUCUUGACAUCCUUUGACAACUCUAGAGAUAGAGCCUUCCCCUUCGGGGGACAAAGUGACAGGUGGUGCAUGGUUGUCGUCAGCUCGUGUCGUGAGAUGUUGGGUUAAGUCCCGCAACGAGCGCAACCCUUAAGCUUAGUUGCCAUCAUUAAGUUGGGCACUCUAAGUUGACUGCCGGUGACAAACCGGAGGAAGGUGGGGAUGACGUCAAAUCAUCAUGCCCCUUAUGAUUUGGGCUACACACGUGCUACAAUGGACAAUACAAAGGGCAGCGAAACCGCGAGGUCAAGCAAAUCCCAUAAAGUUGUUCUCAGUUCGGAUUGUAGUCUGCAACUCGACUACAUGAAGCUGGAAUCGCUAGUAAUCGUAGAUCAGCAUGCUACGGUGAAUACGUUCCCGGGUCUUGUACACACCGCCCGUCACACCACGAGAGUUUGUAACACCCGAAGCCGGUGGAGUAACCUUUUAGGAGCUAGCCGUCGAAGGUGGGACAAAUGAUUGGGGUGAAGUCGUAACAAGGUAGCCGUAUCGGAAGGUGCGGCUGGAUCACCU
rnacentral:rRNA from 1 species